UGUAUGAAUGAAGAAGAAAGCAAAACUCCAAAUUUUCGAUUGAUAAAGGAGCUCAAAUAUUUUUGAAAGGUCGCAUAAAUAAUAUUUGGUGGGUAAUGAGAGAGUAAUUCUUCAUUAAAAGUUUCCUUCAAAAUAUUAUCGUACAGCUCAUCCCCCUCAAUCUUCUCCUUUUCAGACAGUGGAUAUAGUAAAUUCUUUAAAUCUGCUCAGUUAACGUUAUGAUCCAAAUUGCAAUAUUACCUGUAUGAUAUUUAAAUCCGCCUUUGAAAGCUUCAAGAUGUUCGACAGUUUUCUCAGCAGAAGCCUUCGAAGUAUUAUGAGUAUUAAACUUCAAUGAUUUUUGUGAAAUAUUAUUAUGGUCCAAAUUGUACAUUUGCGAAGGAAGUGUAGCACAAGAUUUUGAUAAACCGCCUUGAUUAUAAAACCUGUUCAAUGAUAAACUGAUUUUAGAAGGGCUUCCGGGCCUUCCUCCAAAUGAUAACCUACUUUUUCGUGGGCUGGAAUUAGCAGAAAGCAAAUGCUGUAUAAGGUUUGAGUAUAGAUCCAAGCUUGAGAAAUUUCUAUUUGAAAAAGGGCAUAGGAGAAGCCUUUUUAUAUUAAUAAGAUAAUUAAGACAAGCCUCCCUAAGGUCUUCCUUAGCUAUAACAGCUUCAGUAGGCAAACUGACACCUAACCAGGAAUCGAAACUUAAAUGAAA